ensembl:lncRNA
CUAAGAGGCUGUGCUAAAUUCCCAAGCAGGGGGAUAAAAAUGUAUACUUGCCUGAAAAGUCCGUGCAUGCUUAUGAAAUGAACUGUUAGAAUAGUCUUUUAUCCCUAUGUGGAAGAUAAAAGCUCUGUUCUUGUUGUUGGAGAAGGCCUGGCUGAAAAUGAGGAAGCACUGCUGGUCUCUGUGCAAAGGAAUUUUGGACUCAAGGCCUACCGUGUAAAAAAGAUGCUGAAAAUGAGAUUACCAGAAUGUGAUCUGGCUUUUGUGAUUGGAGUUUGCAGAAGAGUCUCUGCAGGGAUCUCUCCAAUGGAUUUGGCCAACCCGUGUUCCUUAGUUUUUCACUGAAGCAGACUUAAGAGAGAAGAAUCCCUAUGAGCAGAGGAGGCUACGAGGUGACAACACGUGGUCCUGGCCUCGUGGGCUUACCUAGCGAGCAUCUCUUCCACAAAACACCAAAUAAACUCUGAUGCUGCCCUGGAAAACCCAAUUUUGUCUGCAGAGAUUGGGGAAAAAAGAAACAACAAACCCACAGCUGAAAGCUUACAAAUUAUGCAUGGAAGGAAGGAGUUGUUUCUCGAGCUAAGGAGAUGCUGAGAAAACAAAGCUGUCUCCUGAAGCGGGAGUUAAGGCAUCUUGCAUCAAAUGUGAAACCUACCUCUAAGAUCAUUGCAGCUAAGGUAACCACAAGCUCCUCAAGAACUGAAGAAAGCCUGUAGAAGAGGGAAGAAUCAAAAUCUGUGGUGCUUCAGCACAUUUUUAUGUGCUUGCUAGGCUGGGGAUGGAAUUUUUAAGGCAUGGAGUUGGAAUACUGGAAGAAGAAAGAAAACCUGUAUGGAGAACAGGAAUAUUGCACAGCUUCAAGAUAAAUCAACAUAACUAACGGCAAAUGAUACAGCAAGGAAGUACUUUAAAAAGCCAGAGCAGUAGUAGAGAGAUUUCUAAAUACAUAGCCUACAUGGACUGCAAACACCACGGCUGAAGAUAAACUUCUACUCUCACAUGCCAUGAGUAGCCAGAGAACAAAGUGAUAGAGAUGAAAGGAGGUACAGCAAGACAAACACACGCAAGUACACCACAGGACCUGCUGGUAAUAUGCCAUGCCACUAAAAGCCUAACCAAAGUAAGAGAAGCAAGGAAGACAGAACUUUUCACAGGGAUUCCCAGCUGCUCCCAAGAAGAGGACUUGGAGCAGGUGUCUGCUCCCAGAGAAAUAAUCAAGAAAGGUACAGCCUGUUCCCAAUGUUGUCAGUAGAGUGCUGUGUUGCUCUGCAUACUGUUACUUCUUCCUUGCCUCAGUUUCCCCACUAGCUGUCUGUACUGCCUGUGUAAAGAAGAACAUGAUCAAAUCAAUAAAUAAAGCAUGGGAACGAUCAGACGGGACACAGAACAGGACAGCAGGCCAGUCUCUGCCUGAGACUGGGCCCAGAGGAGCGUUACAAGGGUCCCACUCAUACUAAAAUUUCUUAAUAUUAAUGCAAAUUCUGGCAACAGAACAGAUGCUUCGAUAUCUGAGAAAAUGGUGGCUACAAUAAAGACCUUCUCAAUGCUUCAAGGUCUAAGCAGUCUCCCAAACACCUUUUUCUAACACCUCCUUGUCUCAUAGCUCCAAACAGUAAGGAAGUUAAAAAGAAAAGGCAUGAUCAAUAAUUAAAAGGCUGGAAAUGAACAAAUGGAAUGAAUUGCUCCAAGAAGGCUGAGGAGAGAAACCUGAGAAAUACCAUCUAUCUUUAUCUCUCAAUCUGGCAGAGGAUUUACAAACCAUCUUUAAAAAGAGAGAUUGUGAGGUUACAUAUUCACUGGUGCAGGUUUCUGAGCGAUGCCAGGUUUUUUAUUUUAUUUUUUUCUUUUUACAUUAUGCUUCCUCAUUUUAUGACACUUCUCAGACUUGAAUCAUUCACAGCAGAUGGCUCCAUGAAUACUGGAUAUUUCCAUAAAUAAUGACAGACUUCCCUUCAGUCUCCCCACCCUCCCUCCACUCCACAUGCCCAAAUCUUUUGUGUGCUAGCUGCAGAUACACAUUCAAAUUCUGGUCAGCAAACAAGCCUAUCUAGUGCCAUUGUCAUUCCUGCAAGCCCAGUAGAAUCAGUAAAACAAUGAACUUAUCAUCCCAUUUGAUUCAAGAGCGUUUUUUCCAAGCAAUCCUUAGAUAGAAGGGAAAUGCUACGCAGCAUUUAAUGAAAUUGAAUACUUUUAACACCGGAGAGCCACUGCGGAAAGUAUCCGAGUGCUCUGCAGCAGUGGGAAAUGCCGGAGAUAAGUGGUGAGCCAGCUUAGCCGCACAGUGAUGGCAGGGCAACGCUCAGGUCCUCUGAACACCUUUACCACCAAGGAAGCUCUGAGGUUACAGCGGGUGAGGAACUGGCCCCAAAUUUAGCUAUGGAGAUCCUGCUUGCACAAGAGGGACUUGCUAACAAAACAAGGAGCCUCACAAAAAGAAAGGGGUGCGAAAAUCCUCGUUAUUGGGUCAUUGUAUUUGUCUGAUCUACCUGCAAUAAAUGACACGUGAUGCUACUGUCAGAGAUAAAAGCAAGGUGGCUUUUAAUUCAGGACAUUAAGAGAAAAUAUUAAAAACUUCUUAUCAGAGCAAUAAUUUAUGGCUAACUUCAAAUGCUCAUAAUCUGCCAUCUACAUACAUUUCUAUCAAAUGACCCUGUAAAUAAUUAAUAGAUCUAAUUCUGUCAGUGUUGCCAGGGCAGGUUUCCCUGCAGAAGGUUAAUGCAAUGAUUUAAUUCUUUAUUUAUGUGAUUAGCAGCCCCAAUCAGGCUGUUUUAAUGAGGUCGCAGGCAGCGGAUUAUCUCAGGCGACUUGCCUGGCAGGAGCCCCAAGCGCCCCGUUCUUGUGGUACGUUGUACACUUUCUGUCCAGCUGCCCCAGGGGAAACCAUUGGCAGCUACUGGGGGCAGAGCUGGGGUCCCAGCAGGGCAGCAAAUGCUAUUUACCCCUUUCCUAGUUGCCCGACUCAUAGCUGCACAGUCCACAUAAAACAUAGAAACACAGGGAUUCUUAAAGCACAUCGGCCUCAAGAUUCAUCUAUGCCUGUCCAGAAAAGGAAAGACAGGAAUAUCACUAUGAGACAUGGGAUAAUAUGUCACUAGCAGUGCCUUAGGCUCAUCUGUAAAACCUAGCGCUUGGAUUAAAUCCAAAUGGUGAUCCUCCCUAUGUCAACAAGAGAACCU